rnacentral:tRNA from 1 species
ACUAUUUUGGCAGAUUAGUGCAAUAAAUUUAGAAUUUAUUUAUGUAAUUAUAAAUUUUACAAAUAGUA